CUUCCUUAUUUCUGGUAGGGACUCAUCGUGGAGAGCUUUUCCCUUACCUUUUCGGAGUCCCUUCUAUCCCAUUGAAAGUGUGCGGGGGGUGGUCCAAAAAUGUUUUCAGCUGCUCGGCCCGUCAGCCCCACCCAUCAUGACAUCUGCUCCACAACAAUAAGACCGAGGAUUAUGCUAUCGCUGGACUAAAGUAACCAUCGGCCUAUUUUUAUGACUACUUUAGCUAUGGAAGGUGGACUUUUGGAUGAUUUAUUGAGCCCUGGAAAUGAUCAAGUUGGACUGGGCCGCCUCCACUCGGAACACGUUUCGGAACACGAUUCCUGGCCGAGCGUACGCCUGUCAUUGAGACAUUCAUGCACCUUGUACCUUAAUAGAUGGCAUUCCUAUAAAAUCAAAUAUAGAACUUCAUAUAUAUUUGUUUUGGUGUAGAUAUUGAACAUUGCAUCAGUUUUUCCAUGAGCCCUUAAAUAGGCAGAGAAUAAUUUUUUUAUAGCCUCAAAAGCAACUUUUAAAAUAGAUUUAUUUUUUAAAUUUAAAAUUUAUAAAUAUUACAAAUGUAAUAUCAAUAUUACAAGCAUGGUAGACUGUCAAAUUCUUAUUAAACACUUGUUUUAGGAAUUUUUACACAGUUACUUGGAAUUUCUUAAAUGCUGAAAUUGACUUUUUUGUGCGUUUUUAGGAUUGACUAUUUUCCAUUUGCUUUCCGAUGUAUGAUCCUAACAGUUCUUCCGUUUCUAACGUGCAUAAUUGAAAGCAAUAAUAUCUUACCAUAUCCGUACUUCAUUUUCUGUUCUCAUCUACCUCAAAGCCUCUAAAAUCCUACUGUGCUUCUGAAUCUCCAGGAGGAGACUGCAGCGUGAAGCUUCUAUGGGCUUGUGACUACCGACCUCUUUCUCCGAGCAUCUCAGGAACUGAGGUUCUGUGGAAUGCUCUUUGAACAACACCCAGCAGAGUGCCUGGUACACAACAGCAAAUACUGAAGAAGUGUUUGUUACCUAUUCAUCUUGCAUCGUCUUCGUCCAGUACCAAACCAGUCAAACUUCAGCUUUUCCAUGAAAGUGAUUGUCGUAACUCUUUGCUCAUCUCAUGCCUUUUUUUUUUUUUUUUAUUUUUACACAUCAGCUUACAUUUCCACAAAAAUACCUUUUGGUGUUUUGAUUGGGAUUGCAAUGAAUGUGUAGAUCCCUUCGUGGUGAAUUGACAUCUUGACAAUCCAAUCCACAAAUAGUGUAUAUCCUCCCUUUUAGAAUUUUUUAAGUAUUCUUUAAUUUUGCUCAAUGAUUUCUGAUAGUGUAGAAAUCUUAUAUAUAUUUUUGUUGGAUUUCUGGGUGUUUAACUUUUUUACUCUGUUGUAAGUUAUAUUGCGUCUUAAAAUUGUAUUUUCUAUUUGUAACUAGUAAUAAAAACACAAUUGUGUUUUGCUUCUA